AAUGUAAACAAAUCGAAAGUGAAAGUAAAACAAUGUGUAAAUAAAUGAAGGGAAUGAAUGAUAUUUCUUUCUGUUGGACUUUACAAUUGGAUUAUAAAAUAAGCAAGAACCAGGGAGAUUCUGGUGGACCUCUUGUUUGUAAGAAGGACAGUGUCUAAAAAAUAACCGGAGUUGUCUCGUGGGGAUAUGGAUGCGCCAAGAGGCAUGCGCCAGGAGUGUACACUAGAGUAUCCUCGUUCAUCGAUUGGAUCAACACAAAUAAAGCUAGACAUCCAUGAACAGAACAGAUAAUAUAGAAACUGAAAAUAAAAUAUUAUUAAUAAUGGAGUAAA